rnacentral:rRNA from 1 species
UACGUAGGGUGCGAGCGUUGUCCGGAAUUAUUGGGCGUAAAGAGCUUGUAGGCGGUUUGUCGCGUCGGAAGUGAAAACUCAGGGCUCAACCCUGAGCGUGCUUUCGAUACGGGCAGACUUGAGGAAUGCAGGGGAGAAUGGAAUUCCUGGUGGAGCGGUGGAAUGCGCAGAUAUCAGGAGGAACACCGGUGGCGAAGGCGGUUCUCUGGGCAUUUCCUGACGCUGAGAAGCGAAAGCGUGGGGAGCAAACAGG